CUUAAAUGUAGAGUGCAUGAUGUGGAAACAUGUCUCCCUUCGGGGCUCUCUGCAAGGUGCUGCAUGGUUGUCGUCAGCUCGUGCCGUGAGGUGUCGGGUUAAGUCCCAUAACGAGCGCAACCCUUAUCGUUAGUUGCCAGCUGGUAAAGCAGGGGACUCUAGCGAAACUGCCACCGUAAGGUGAGAGGAAGGUGGGGAUGACGUCAAAUCAGCACGGCCCUUAUGUCCAGGGCUACACACGUGUUACAAUGGCCGGCACAGAGGGCAGCUACCUGGUGACAGGAUGCUAAUCUCGAAAACCGGUCUCAGUUCGGAUCGAAGUCUGCAACUCGACUUCGUGAAGCUGGAUUCGCUAGUAAUCGCGCAUCAGCCAUGGCGCGGUGAAUACGUUCCCGGGCCUU
rnacentral:rRNA from 1 species